ACAUGGCUACAACAUAGUGUUAAUUCAUAGGAUCCCAUUAGAAAUCCACAGUUAAGAGCGCUCGGUUUAGAGUAGUACUGGGAUGGGUGACCGCUCGGGAAGUACUAGUAUUUUACAUGCC
rnacentral:rRNA from 1 species